CAUCUAUUUAAUCAAUCUUAAAAUACAAAUAUUAUACGUUUAUAUUCUUAUAUAUUCGCGGGAGGAUGUGCGCAGGUACCAUGUUGUCCUGCUGAAUUGUAGCCAAUCAACGAACAGUGUUGUAAGCAAUUCGAAAUAAUAACGGUUGACCGACACGAGGCUCCGCACAGUCGGUCUGUGGAUUCGCACGUGGUGAUAUGUUCGUCGUGUUAAAUAAUGUCUACAAUGUGGAUAUAUAUCAGUUAGUAAUGAAUGCUAAACAAAGAAUUACAGAGUUAAUCUGUUAAAUUUUGAUAGAAGAAAAUAUAUAAAUACAAAAGAUGCAACACUUGAUCGAUCAUUGUUUUAUUUAAGAAUAAAUAAAGGUAGCACCCAUGUAUAGAUGUAUAUAUAGAUUAUUAUGGAAUCCGAGGAUUGAACUGCGAAGAUUGUUUCAAAUGUAUUCCAGCAAGAGUUAAUUAUAUCCAUAUUGGUCAUAUGUCACUGUUACAUUUCAUAAAUUAAAUUGGUCUUCAAAGUCUCUGGAUCUCCAAAACCUUGUGCAUGGAUUUCGUGUUAUUCAAAUA